rnacentral:rRNA from 1 species
UAGCCGGACUGAGAGGUUGAACGGCCACAUUGGGACUGAGACACGGCCCAGACUCCUACGGGAGGCAGCAGUGGGGAAUAUUGCACAAUGGGGGAAACCCUGAUGCAGCGACGCCGCGUGGAGGAAGAAGGUCUUCGGAUUGUAAACUCCUGUUGUUGAGGAAGAUAAUGACGGUACUCAACAAGGAAGUGACGGCUAACUACGUGCCAGCAGCCGCGGUAAAACGUAGGUCACAAGCGUUGUCCGGAAUUACUGGGUGUAAAGGGAGCGCAGGCGGGAGAACAAGUUGGAAGUGAAAUCCAUGGGCUCAACCCAUGAACUGCUUUCAAAACUGUUUUUCUUGAGUAGUGCAGAGGUAGGCGGAAUUCCCGGUGUAGCGGUGGAAUGCGUAGAUAUCGGGAGGAACACCAGUGGCGAAGGCGGCCUACUGGGCACCAACUGACGCUGAGGCUCGAAAGUGUGGGUAGCAAACAGGAUUAGAUACCCUGGUAGUCCACACCGUAAACGAUGAUUACUAGGUGUUGGAGGAUUGACCCCUUCAGUGCCGCAGUUAACACAAUAAGUAAUCCACCUGGGGAGUACGACCGCAAGGUUGAAACUCAAAGGAAUUGACGGGGGCCCGCACAAGCAGUGGAGUAUGUGGUUUAAUUCGACGCAACGCGAAGAACCUUACCAAGUCUUGACAUCCCUUGACGAUGCUGGAAACAGUAUUUCUCUUCGGAGCAAGGAGACAGGUGGUGCAUGGUUGUCGUCAGCUCGUGUCGUGAGAUGUUGGGUUAAGUCCCGCAACGAGCGCAACCCU